rnacentral:rRNA from 1 species
GCAUAUCAAUAAGCGGAGGAAAAGAAACCAACAGGGAUUGCCCCAGUAACGGCGAGUGAAGCGGCAACAGCUCAAAUUUGAAAUCUGGUCCCCAGGGCCCGAGUUGUAAUUUGCAGAGGAUGCUUUUGGCGAGGCGCCUUCCGAGUUCCCUGGAACGGGACGCCAUAGAGGGUGAGAGCCCCGUCUGGUUGGAUGCCGAGCCUCUGUAAAGCUCCUUCGACGAGUCGAGUAGUUUGGGAAUGCUGCUCUAAAUGGGAGGUAUAUGUCUUCUAAAGCUAAAUACCGGCCAGAGACCGAUAGCGCACAAGUAGAGUGAUCGAAAGAUGAAAAGCACUUUGAAAAGAGGGUUAAAUAGUACGUGAAAUUGUUGAAAGGGAAGCGCUUAUGACCAGACUUGGGCCCGGUGAAUCAUCCAGCGUUCUCGCUGGUGCACUUUGCCGGGCUCAGGCCAGCAUCAGUUUGCCCCGGGGGAUAAAGGCUUUGGGAAUGUGGCUCCCUCGGGAGUGUUAUAGCCCAUUGCACAAUACCCUGGGGCGGACUGAGGUUCGCGCAUCUGCAAGGAUGCUGGCGUAAUGGUCAUCAGCGACCCGUCUUGAAACACGGACC